rnacentral:lncRNA from 10 species
CUGCCCUUGGUUUCACUUCCUUGUUUUUUUCUUAAAACAGGUACUGAGUAUAAAACAAUAUAAAACAAUAUGAGAGGGUCCGUCUCUUCCCUCACCCUGAUCUCCCCAAAUUUGGUCGAUAUCUAAGGUUUUUUUUUGCUGUACAACUCCUUUUCUGGAGUUUUACUCACUUUCAACAAGGAAGGUGAGUUUUCCUGCUUCCAUGAUGAUGGAGGGCAGGCAACUCCUUUCUGGAGUUUCAGCUCAAUUCCAACAGGGAAGGCGAGUUGGAGUUUUUUUCCUGCUUAUAGGCUGGUAGAGAGCAGUGUUGAGCCUGGACUCCAUUCCUAGGGGAAAGAAUGGUGAGAAGGAGCAGAGUGAGAUGAAUGAAAUUUGAUCUCUGUCGUUGGCUGUGGUUGCUACUCUUGGACAGUAACUCGAUGACCAUGAAGAAGACUUCCUCAUUUCAUCACAUCCUGCAUGUUGACUAGGAUCACAGCUGGCAGCUAGUCUCCUUCCUUCCAGUUCAGAAUGAAUGGACUAAACAUUUACUUAGUGGAGAGUUAUGCAAAAUUUUGAUACUAUAGAAUGUGUUCACCUAACGGGUUGAGCCAAGAAGAGGCUCCUAAAUCUAAGUCUGUAUGUUAAAUAAAUAGAAGAGACG